rnacentral:rRNA from 1 species
UACGUAGGGUGCAAGCGUUGUCCGGAAUCAUUGGGCGUAAAGCGCGCGUAGGUGGCCCAGUAAGUCCGUUGUGAAAGUCAAAGGCUCAACCUUUGAAAGCCGAUGGAUACUGCUGGGCUUGAGUCCGGAAGAGGCGAGUGGAAUUCCUGGUGUAGCGGUGGAAUGCGCAGAUAUCAGGAGGAACACCAAUAGCGAAGGCAGCUCGCUGGGACGGUACUGACACUAAGGCGCGAAAGCGUGGGGAGCGAACGGG